UUCAGUUAGAAUUAACAUAAAGACCCAUUACAAAAGGGUGGACCCCUUAAGUAAAUCGAGGGUUCAACGCAAUAGAGGCAUUUACAUAUAAUAAUUAUAUGUAGAUACGCCCCUAUUGCGUAAAAUCUUCGAAAUGUACAUUUUAUAACUUUUCGUGAAAUUUUGGUAUUAGAUCCCUUUAACAAAAGUAUAUAAAAGUGCACUAUUUCUUUAGAUUUCAAUAUAAUUUUUAGUUUUACAUUUGCAUUUAAUAAUCUUAGAAUCUGGGAUAUUUCUACUAUCUGAAACAAACACAAGUUUUAAAACAGUGCCUAAGUUUGAAUUCACCUAUUUUCUUUCUAUCUUUGUUAUGCUACCGAGAUAAGCAAAGGGAGGUAAAUAUUUUAUACAUGGGCACCUCUAAUAAAUUUCUACAAAUAUAUACGUGUCUAUGCAAAUACUUGGUAACUUUAAUACAGUAGUGCUUAUAUUCAUAUUCUAUCUUCGGAUAAAUGUGUUUAUUAAAUCUAGAAUAACGCUAUCUUGGUUUGGCAAUCAGAAUAGGAAAAUAAUAUUUUAGACAUACUUCGAGUGAAAAGCUUAAAGUUUUGAACAAUUCCUUUUGUUGACCAACCUUUAAAUCUAUUUUUGAUAUAUGAACAGAUUGUCCGUCAUUCUGAAAUAUGAUGUCUCUCUUAACAUUGCACCGACGCAGGAAAAUGUUAUAGAGCGACGUUCCAGUGAGGCUUAACCUUUAACUUGCUGGCGGCAAAUGAAUUUACCAUUGCGACUAGUGCAGACCAAGAUCAGCCUACACAUCCUUCCGUGCAGGCUGACCAUGGUUUGCACUGUUCACUUUUCAGUGAACACCCAUUUGAAUGAUAAAUGGUACUGCCAACAUUGAAUGAUAGAUUAGUCCAUUUUAGAAAUUUAGCAGGGUAAAGGUUAAACUAACAUUGGUGAGGGGCAAGUUAUUCUAAGUCACUCGGCCCUUCUAAUUUCCCUACAUUACAUCUACCAUGCAUCAAAUUUUCAAGUUCAGUAUUAUGUUUAAAAAAGGUGUUUGCUAAAUAAUUAAUUCAGUAGAUAAGGAGAUAAAACUAAAAUAGCCGCCUCUAUGUUUACUUUCUUACUUCCUUAAAUUUCAAACUGUUAUUUCUUUGUCCCUAGUGGUCUGGUUUUAACAACUCUUCAUGCUUAUGAAUGGCUUGAUGAUGGCUUCUUUAUAAAUUCAAUUUCUGUUUAGGCAUUCUUAUUCCUUACAAUAUGUUUAUUUUAGAAUGUUCAUCGGACAUCAAAAAAGCAGACGAGACUGGAAAACAAAUGCUUGCGAUAGAUGUAUUUGCUGCAGGCCUUCAUUACUUAAAGGACCACAUGAUGCAAUCUUGCAGUGACAGAAUGUGUAGUAGUAGCGUUGAUAUACAAGAUGUAAGAUUUUCUUUCAAUCCCGGCUAUAUGGGACGACGGUGCCAAACAAUUCAUGAGGGAAGCCGCGAUAAAGGCCGGAAUUCCGGGAGAAAACCUACUUCUUGCACUUGAACCAGAGGCAGUGUCUAUGUUUUGUAAAUAUCUACCAGUUGAACGGAUGAUUGGCACCGCUGAUAGAAAGAUUACGUGUUAUCAAAAUACCUUGUUCUUGAUGCAGGCGGUGGAACUGUUGAUAUUACGGUUCAUGAGGUACUUCCGGGAGAGAAACUGAGAGAACUCUUCAAGGCUAACGGCGGAGCCACGGGUGGAACAACAAUUGAUGAAGCUUUCCUGUCAUUCAUACAGAAAAUUACAGGAAGCGAGGUAAUGAACCGAUUCCGCGAAGAACACAAGGAUGAUUUUAUAGAUCUUCUGGGGGAAUUCGAGGUGAAGAAGCGUACUGUGCAGCCAGAAAUAGAAUCCAAGAUCACGUUUAGGAUACCUAUAACGCUUCACGAACUGUACAGAGAUGUAUGUAUGGGGGAGAUCAGGGACGCUGUACGGAAAAACCAAGAUUUAUCGGGGAAGGUAACUUUUGCGGGCGAUAAAAUGAGGGUUGAUGCUGACGUCGUGAAAUCAUUGUUUAGCGAUACAAAUAAGAAAAUCACUAAUUGUUCCACAUGAAGCUGGACUUGCAGUGCUGAAAGGAGCCGUGAUUUUUGGACAUAAUAGUUCUGUUAUAACAUCAAGAAUCGCAAAAUAUACAUAUGGAAUGAAAUGCCAUAAGCCAUUUAAUCCUUCGAUUCAUCCUAGAGAACGAAGUGUGAUGAAGAAAGAUGGAGAGCAAACUGUUCGUGGUUGCUUUGACAAAUUGGUAGAAAUAGGCCAGGCAGUAUCCCCGGAGAAGCAACGAUUGGGAAGUCAUAUUCACCAACAGGUGGACAGAGCGGUUUUCGAAUAAAGUUAUAUGCAUCGCCAAGAAAGGAAUCGUUAUUUGUAGGUGAACCAGAUUGUAUCCGUAUUGGAGAUGUAACUGUCAGUUGCCUCGACAGGAAGGGCGUAUCGGUUGUGCAACCUGGGGGUAACAGCAGUGCAUAACACAACUGGAGAGCAAACACGAGCAUUCUUUGAUUUUCUCGAAUGACAAUGUGACAGUGCUCGACGAAAACAGUAUCUUAUGUUUUGAAGACAGUUUCUGCGUCUGUUUAUCGUAAGGUACUUUUUAGUUAUCAAACAAUUCUUUGGUGGCAUUCUAUGUUUCCAAAGGAUCCUUUUACAGAUUUUAUCAAGAUAAGUUAAAACCUUCAGACACUGUCACGUAUUUGCGACUUAUAAAACUAGGAUUUUGUUUAACUGCUUGCACUUUCUGGUAAAAUGUUUGUAUUUAAACUAAACUUAAUGACAAAAUUGCCCAUGUUACAUGAACAGAACAUCAAAAUUAAAGGGAAUGUAUGGAAUAGAGGUGAAUCUAGGUUAAAAUUAUCCUAUACGACUUCAUACUUAACAUACAUUUGAAAACAGUUUCUUAUUAUAUGCCAUUCAUGGCGGACGUUUUAAGGAUUUGGAAGAAAUGAUUGCCGUUAAGUUUUUUUUAAUAAAUGUUGUCGAUAUGUUUGCAGACGCAUGUCGAAGCUACGUUAAUAAUGUUUUCGUUUUUUUUUUCACAUAUUCAACACUGCAGUUAAGACUAAGUCAAUUCACAUUGAUUAUAUACACUGCUAUCGUAAAUACAACGCAUCCAUUUUAAAAUCAUCUUACAGAUUUUAUAAGAAGCUAAAAGAAAAGUUAUAUCUUAUUCUGAAAAGAAGGUCACCCAUAUACUAGAAAUUAAGGAGCAAAAUGAAAGUUUUAGCGUCUGCAAUAUUGUAUAAAAUAUCGCAUUUGGAUAUCAGUGAACAUUGCUGCUGAUAGAUGUUGCUAUAUCAUCUGAAAAAUAAUAAAUAACGUGAUUUCUGAUGAUGGCAAUGUUGAGCCGAGUAUAAAACUCUGUGAACUCAGGUUGACUAUUUAUAUUUCUGUUCUUCGUAAACCUACAUAUUAUUUUUACAGUGUAUUUGCUUCAGUCUUUAUCUUAAUCUAACAGUAAAAUGAUAAAUGGUAUUAAAUUUUGCUUGGUUGUGGUCUAAGAUUAUAAAGUAUCAUCUUAUAUAUUUAUUAUUUUAAGUCUUUUGAGGUUAUAAGGUUUAACAUAUGAAUAUCCAUCCUUGCCUACCCUUCCAACCCCACCCGCAAUACCCACAUCCCUUCCACUACCCCAUCCCAAUUUUGUAUUUUGUUCAUAUAUUAAUUGUCUACUGUUUGAUUUUGUUGUUCUCUGUGUUUUCGGGAAAUCUACCCUUCUCUUUUCAUAUCUUCUGUCUGGCGUUGUUUAAUUUACCUUCACUUGCUACUAAAACAGCUGUAACAGACAGAACUUUUACAAUUUCAUAAAAAACAGUUUACGUAUUUUUACGAGAAAUGCAUUAAUUAAUGUUCUAUACAAUAAAUGGAAUUAUAAAAGAUACAAAGAUUUUGUCAAUGCAUACAUGCAAAAGGACAUCACAUCGCCCUCGCAGAUUAAAAACUAAGUUUAUGACAUAUUGUGAUGGCUACUACAUAAUGCCUAGAGGGUAAAAGGACAAAACUAAGAGCGUUUUGCUACAUUUCGUUAUAUUAGUACCCCAAGAUCGUGACUGGAUGACCAUGUUAAAAUGCAAAUUAAAUAUAUUUCAUAUAUACUAAUAGAAUUAGUAGAAAUUUUGAUGAAAUAAAUUGCAAAUUUUGACUGUAUUUAUUUUUAACUGCAGUGGAACAUGUUUUCUGUAUUUGCACUGCCGUAACUAUUUAACUACCCUUUGGCAGUAAUUUCGGGAUCAUUUGAAGAUAAUAAAAAUGCAUAUGGGUGUUGAUAAAGCUAUUUCUCUGUCGUGCAAAAUGUAUGAGAAUUGCUAUUCGCCUAUCGUACAUUAUAUCCGGUAUUUAUACAAUUUUUCAGGCAUUUAACCUCCUCAAAGGGACUCUCACCACUUUCAGAAAACAGACACACCAAUAAUAUGUCGAAACGAUUGGGAACUGCCUUGUACGCAAUUUGUACAUCUACUCUUUCAUCUGUAUGUCUUCGUUGAUGCUGUAAUUGUACUGGAUUUCAUUUAUUUUAUGAAAUUAGAUUGAUUUCGGCUGCACGAAAAGGGUAUUAUUACUGUUGUCGUUAUUUCUAAAUAUAAACAUAUGACGUUUCAUCCCUUUCAGAAAAUUCUUCAGAAGUUUUUGUCAUGAUUAUGGUUUUCAUUCUCGUCUCAUGGUAUGAGAAAAUCAUAUUUCACUCAUGGUAACGUCACUCGUGAAAUAUCUUAUUUUCAUGCCAUUCGAUGAAAUUAAAAACCAUUAUUUUAUGAAUGAAAUACAUGAAUAUCCUCUAAGUAUUUACUUUCCAAAACUUUAUAAUUGACAUUUAUUUUGUAGUUUUCUACUUGUAAUUAUUAUAAGUGUUGUAUGUGUUAGUUGGUUUAUAUCCAGUAAUGUGUAAAUAAUAGUAUUCAUUGAAAAAUCAUGACAAAAUUUAAUUUAAAGAUAUUAUGCAGAUGUUUUCAAACAUUUUAAUUUUUAAUUAGUGUAUCUGUUUGGGGUUUAACGCCAUAUUUUCAACAGUAUCUUAGUUACGUAAGUAGUAAAGUAAUUGUUUGUGCGAAGACAGUAUAACCCCACUUGACCUAUGACCCUUGGUCAGGACUGGUCAGUGCCGGACAAUUAAAAUACUUUAAAAACCACAGAUUUCAAACAUACUAUUGUGUAAAUCUCCGGUAUAACUGAAUGAAAAUAUUACUUCCUUAUUUUACUCAUUCAUAAACUAGCGUAAAUAUUUACCACAGAUUUCAAACAGACUAUUGGGUAAAAAACACUCAACCGAUAAAAAUCAAUCGGUUUUCUAUACAGUAAAAAAAGAUAUACCGAUAUCGCUUUUGUGUUAUGAUAAUAGCAGUACGUGAGAUUUUCUGAAAAUGAUAAUGAAUUCAGUUUUAUAAAUAACUGACACAUUUUUGGAAAACUGUAAUACUGGUUUUCUGUUUACUAAUACUAGAACAUUCGUUGUUGCUAUAGUGUUAAGUCACGUAAAACUUUGUAGCAGUUUAGUAUUUGGCGUAAAUGAAUAAGGAUUUAAAGAUUAAAAAUGUAAGUGUUGUUUCAUUUUCUUUUACUGACUUUGAAAAAAUGUGUUUUUGACAAAUAAAUAUUUCUUUACUUUGUAGUGCUAUUAAAAUUUAUUUUAUUUAUUCAUUUCAGGAGUUUUGAAGAGUUCUUUAAAGAUAUUGAUUGUCUAACUGUGGCUUUUAGAGAGAAAAACCCUAACGACUCUGAUGUGCAGAAAUGGAAUGAAAUAUACUGCAAAAGAUACUAUGAUCUUCUCAUUCAACAUAUUUGGAAUCCAGACGAAUUUCAAAUACUUCAAGAAGAGAACACUAGAUUAAAACAAGAAUUACAGACUUUAAAACAAAGUACUUCUAAAACAAUGACGUCGUCCGUAUCAAAACAAACGAAAUAUGAUAAAAUUAGAAAAAAUAUUCAACAAUCAUAUUCAGAAGAAAGAAGGUUAACUUGCGACUGUGAUUACUCUGGAGAACCAACGAUUGAUUUAUGUAUUAAAGCUUUGGGAACGUAUGACAAAUUGAUCAGCUCGGAUAAACGGAAUGUAGUUUUAAAUUCUGCGAACAAAGGAUAUGUUUUAAAAGAUUUAAAAAAACUAUCAAGAAAGGAAAAGAAAGGAUUUAUGGAUAUACUAAAAAAUCAUGGUUUCGUUUAUUCAUUAUCACAUUGCAAUUUUUUAAUACGUUUAUAUGAUUUUGCAAUGACUCAUAAUAAAAUAUUACAUUGUGCUUUAUCUAUUGAGUAUAUUUGUCAAAAUUUUACAAUCAUUAAGAAAAUCUUUCAAGAAUUGACUUGGUGAAUACAAAUAAGUCACUCAACCGUAGGAUUAUAUUAUAAUCACAUGCACGAAUGAACAUCAUAAUAUUACGUUUUCUUGAAAUCAUUCAACCGUAGGAUUAUAUUAUAAUCACAUGCACGAAUGAACAUCAUAAUAUUACGUUUUCUUGAAAUCAUUCAACCGUAGGAUUAUAUUAUAAUCACAUGCACGAAUGAACAUCAUAAUAUUACGUUUUCUUGAAAUCAUUCAACCGUAGGAUUAUAUUAUAAUCACAUGCACGAAUGAACAUAAUAAUAUUUCAUAUUGUCAAAAUUAUUCAACUGUAGGAUUAUAUUAUAAUCAAAUGCAUGAAUGAACAUCAUUGAAAAGUAGUAUGAAAUAUAACGCUUAUGAUACAUUUUUGUUAGUAGUAAAGAAUAUUACGUUCUUGGUACAUUUUAAUACAUUUUAACUCAUUUUAUUAAAAUAAUUUAUAAUUGUUUGUUCAUUUACUCUUUGAUUGUUAACUUUUAGUAUUUUAUACAAUAAAUCAUACAACGGUAUUUUAUCUUGUAACAUUUUUAUGAAAAAUAAACAAUAAUAACCACA